AAUUGCUAGUAAUGGCAGGUCAGCAUACUGCCGUGAAUACGUUCCCGGGCCUUGUACACACCGCCCGUCACACCAUGAGAGUUGGGAAUACCCGAAGCCUGUGAGCUAACGUAAGAGGCAGCAGUCGAAGGUAGAAUCAAUGAUUGGGGUGAAGUCGUAACAAGGUAUC
rnacentral:rRNA from 1 species